ensembl:ncRNA C04G6.15 ncRNA
AAUUUUCGAGUAUAUUCUGAAUUUUUCGCUUUUUCUAUUAAAAAAUCCAAAAAUUGCCACGUAGAAAACGUCAAUGCAGUCUCGUUGUGCUUAAAUUAAUCCCAUUUUCCCCUUACAAAACAGUUCAUUUAUCCCAGUUACCUCUCUGCGUUUUUUAGUAUUUUUUCCCCAUUUCCCCAUGCUUAAAUUAAUCUCAUUUUACACAUUUUUCCCCUAUCAGCAGUUCUUUUUAUCUCAUUUUCCUCCCCUUUCUGCGUUUCUCUUAAUCUGUUUUAUGAACAUUACUUAACAAUUGCCACGAAUAGCAUACAUUUAUUUUUUGUCACAAAUAAUAUUCCGGGUUUAUUGCAUUUUUUCCACAAUACUAACCAUAUCUGUUAUAUAGUUGUUCGCAUUAUCCUCAACCUCAUACACUUGCCGUUUUCCCUCAUUUUUCUGUGAAAGUUUUUAUUGUUUUUUAUUGUGUGUGUGUGUUUUUUUUUAUUAUAUUUCAAUUGUGAAUAAUUUUGAUUCGAG